GACGCCCAUAAUCUAGCCCAACUUUUCCUACAAACUCACCCUCUUUCCCUCAAAAUAAAAUAAAACAUUCUUAAUCUUUAGUAAAUGCGAUUAAAAAAGAACCUGGAGCUACACAUAUAGUACCGCAAGGGAAAGAUGAAAUAGAAGUUAAAUAAAUAUUUAAGCAUAAAAAAGCAAAGAUUUCAACUUGUACCUUUUGCAUCAUGGUCUAACUAGUCCAUCCAGGCAAAAAGGUUUUUAGUCUGAUACCCCGAAACUAAGUGAGCUACUCCGAGGCAACCUUAGAGUGAACCCGUCUCUGUGGCAAAAGAGUGGGACGACCUCCGAGUAGAGGCGACAUACCUAUCGAACUUAGUGAUAGCUGGUUACUCAAGAAAAGAAUUUUAGUUCAAUCUUAAAGGAACCCUUCAUAACUUAAUUAAAUAUACCCAUCCUUUAAGACUUAUUCAAUAAGGGUACAGCCUUAUUGAAAAAGGAUACAACCUAAAACUCAGGUUAAUGAUUUCUUCUUCUAAGAGGAGCUAGUUGGCUUAAGAGCAGCCACCUUUUUAAUAGCGUCAAAGCUUUCUCCUUCUUAAUUCUCUAAUACUUAUUUCCCAUCAGAACCCGAUCAUAUUAUUGAGUCAUCCUAUACUUUUAUAGAAGUGUUUAUGUUAGAACUAGUAACACAGAAUUAUUUCUCUCUAUGUAAGUGUAAAUCAGAUUGAAUACGUCACUGAUACUUACUCAGUAAUGAAAACAAUGUAGCAACUUCACUAGAAAAUCCUACUAUCUUUUCUGUUAACCUAACACAAGAACAUAAGAAAAAGAUUAAAAGACUAAGAAGGAACUCGGCAAAUAAGGAUCCCGCCUGUUUACCAAAAACAUCGCCUCUUGAAUAAUAUACUAGGUACUGCCUGCCCAGUGACUAUAUGUUUAACGGCCGUGGUAUUUUGACCACGCAAAGGUAGCGUAAUCACUUGUUUUUUAAAUAAAGACUUGUAUGAAUGGCUUGACGAGGAUCCAACUGUCUCCUCUGUCCAAUCAGUGAAACUGAUCCCCUCGUGCAGAAGCGAGGAUUAACUCAUAAGACGAGAAGACCCUAUGGAGCUUUAAACUUAUAUCAACAAUUUUACCCCCUUUUCCUCUAACUGAACUAACAUUUAACUAAAUCUGCUUGAUUAAAGUUUUGGGUUGGGACGACCAUGGAGAAAAAAAAAUCCUCCCUGAUGACACCUAACUAAGAGCCUCAGCUCUAAGUAAUAAGAUACUUAACUUCUAUUGACCCAUUUUAUGAUCAACGAACCAAGUUACCCUAGGGAUAACAGCGCAAUCCAUUUCAAGAGUCCUUAUCGACAAAUGGGUUUACGACCUCGAUGUUGGAUCAGGGCACCCAAG
rnacentral:rRNA from 1 species